rnacentral:tRNA from 1 species
CAGCCCGUGGCUCAAUGUUAGAGCGUUCGUCUGAAAUACUAAAAAUCGCGGGUUCAAAUCCCAGGUUUG